GAGGAACUAGAACUAGAACUAGAUGAACUAGAACUAGAUCUAGAUGAACUAGAGGUAGAACUAGAAGAACUAGAGGGAUCCUCUCUACUUGGAUGAAGAAUUGAAACCCUAACUUUGAUUCUGUAGAAGAGGUAUGAUCUCCAGGGGCCAGGGGGGUCUGGUUUUAUAGUCCCUUCAAGUGAAUCUGGGCCGUCGGAUCAAACCGACAUUGAUCGCACGGUUUUCCUUGAUCCUUUAGGUCGGUGGAGCAUAAUACGCGAAACGGGUCUGAAUUGGACACUGUAGCUGGGCGGGCGCCCAGGAGAGUUGGGCAGGCGCCCUGCCUCCGAGCUCAAUCGGCCUCCCGUUCGUUCCCGUGGCUUCUGGAGUCUUCUAGAUGGUAGAAAAUUGCGCGGCACGUUAAUAUCUCUAUGUAAACCCGACGUGUGGGCCUUUCUUCCGUAUUUCCUGAUAACCCCCUGCAGAAAUAGACAAACACCAAAACUCGUGGAAUUCUGUCAGAUAAAACCCUAAGUCUAGGUGUUGGUUCCAUUUAGAUCCUUUUCCAUGAUUGGUUGACGGUUGAAUGUGAGCAUUAAGGACCGUCAACAAGCUCCCCCGAGCUUAACCUUUGCUCGUCCCUGAGCAAAGAUGGACUCAAGAGUUUCUGCAGUGGUUUUAUGCCUUAAGGAUACACAUGCGUUCAAACAAGAUCUCAUCUCUGAGUUAGGGUAAACUGUUAAGAUUUAAACUUACUCAUUUUACCUUCCACCAUGGGGCUUGCAACCGUCACUUGUGUCUUGAGCAGUUAAAAGAUAGAACGGUCUAAUCAAGCGCCAUGUCUCAUGUUCUUGAUCAACUAUAGCUCUGGAGUUUUUGCAGAUUUUCAAAUAAAACUCAGAGAUUCCUUGUAUGACUCUCUCAAGUCUCUCUUUUGUGGUAUUUCUGGAUCCUUACCAAGGCAGUAAUGGUAUAUGCCUUCUCUCAAAGUAUGUGGUAUUUUUGGUAUAAGGCAUAGUGGCAUUGCCUUCUCUCUCACCCUACUCUAAUAAGGCUUUUGAUAUCUGGAGCUCAUAGGUGGGAGACAGCUAAUACAUACUUACAAGACAUUUAUUGCAUAGUCAAACCAUGGAUCGAGAAGAACAAGUCAAUAAGUCAAAUCAAGAUGUGCAUGUGUGGCGAAUGAAUGGUGUAUGGUGAUGAUGGUGAUAACAAUGGUGAAAGUCUAAUUCUACUUAUGCUCUUUUGAGGGGAUACAUACCUUUCUUGCUCUUUUGAAACUUUUUGAGGGGAAUGAGAUGCUCUAUAUUCUCUUUUCUUUUCUUUUCUUUCUUUUCUCUCAGGUGGGUAUCUUGUACCCCUAAUUCUACUGUCGGACACUUGUCCAUUUUUACCUCUCGUCUCACUUUUUCUUUCUUUCGAGGUUCCGGGCACUUGCCCCUUUUUAUUUCCUCGUAUCUUCUUUUUUUUCUCUUUUUUUUUCUUCUUUUUUUUAGAGCACUCAUCUCCUGAAAUAAUAUAGCAAGUGGUAGUAACCAAGAUAACUUGAGCAUUUAUUUCACAGGGAAAAACAUAAAUGUUUUUGGCUAUUCUCUCCCGGAUUAGGAGUAGAAUAUUUUUAGGUGGUUCUGGAGAUGGAAAUGGAUAUAUAUGGAUGGUACUUCCAGAGUAGAAGUAGCAUGUGUGAGUGAACGUGCAGAUGAAUCUUGAUUUAACCACAUGACAAGCUCCUAAGGGUCUACACAGCUUGACCACACUCAAUGCUCAUAAGCAGUAAAAAGUAAAUGUGUAGCUCAAAGUCUAGCAAGCAUGUAUAUAUGGCUGUGGUAGGAAUUUAAACUCUCAUCAUACAGGAACUCAUCAUGCAACAUAUUAAAGAUUUUUUUCAAAGAUAAAAUUCUCCAGAAUUCUAGCAUCUCUAGGAACAGAUAAACAACAGCUCAACCUUCCCAUAUCAUAUCCAUUAACGACUUAGACUUCAGAUCAAGUACUCUUCCCACAAGUUCAGGUUUAGAGCAAAUCUUAAUUAAUACCAGUCAUGCCUAAUCUUGAGAGAGAUUUCAAUUUAAGAACUAGUCAUAGCAGAGCAACUAUUCAUCAUUUCCAUGUGAGAGAUUAUCAUGAGGGUUCAUAGCAAACUUUAUUUAUUUAUUUAUUUAGCAAACUAAGCAAAGAUAUAUAUAUAUAAGCACAAAAUCUUUAUUUGGGUUUUCAUGAUUAUGCAUCUUUUUAUUAUUUGAGUAAAGUAUAAACAUGAGUAGAAACACUUAGCUGGAUAAAUGGGGUGCUCUCCCCUAAGCUGGAUUUUGACGAAGUUUCUUCUGAUGUAGCUAGCAGGUGGCGGAGGUGUAUUUGAAUGUCGGCAGCACUCUGUCAGCGAUUAGGAUGUUCUCCGUCUGCUAGUCUUCUUUGAUCCUUGAAUUCUGUGGAGUUCAAAUAGACAACAAAGCUUUGUGGAACUGGUUAAGGGUUAGCGUAAAUACCUAGCCUUUAUCAUGUUGAGCCUCCUCAAUAAAUGUUACUCUCUUUAGUAGAAUCAUAAAUUUAUUUUCAUUUUUAUAGGACAGGAAUAUAUUUAUUUUAUUUUUAUGCCACCACAGUGAAUGUACUUAUGGGUUUUAUGCCAUGAGCAUACUCACAUGGGGCUUACUAUUUUUAACAUUUUUAUUUUCUUUUCAAGAUGAUAUGAACCUGAUUAACUAAGCAAACUAUUUUAAAUAAUUGAAAGGGAAAAAGGAUAACUACCAAGUUUACCUCUUGGCAAGGCGUUCGGUGUUUUUAAGUCCUCCGAACGGGACUCUCCGUUUUCUCAGUCGUCCUGGGAUUCGUUGGAUAGCGUAGUCGGUGGUUCCGGCGGCGCCUAGUCUUCAUGUAUAACUAUCUUCUCGGUGCACUUCUCCUUCGUAGACUCGUAGUCCGCCCAUCCGUCCUUGAUGAUUUUGCCUUCUCUGGUUGCGGUUGCAUCGUCUCCUUCUUGUCCUGACCUGCUCAGAGUCUUCAACUAUAUAGCAGCGUGCCUUCUCAGAGGGGAAGUGCAUGUGGACUUCUCCGGUUCCAAUGUAGAUGAUUGCUUUCACAGUGCUGAGGAACGGUCUUCUAAUGGUGAUGGGUGGAUUGUACUCGUCUUCUCCCAUGUCAAUAACCUUAAAAUCAUCUGGAGCUGAAUGCAUGUCGGUUUUAGGGGCAUGGUUCCGAAUAGGAGCUGAUAGGUGACUGGGUCAUCCUUUUUGGUCAGGAAUGGUGACUUAAGUUGAUGAUCUUGACCUCCAUGAACUGCAGUGACCAUCUUAGCUGACUCGGUACACAUUCGCUUGUUCCUGUUCCUCCUGUUGGUCCUCUUCCUUGGUUCAUGUCGGGAUUGCUCUGGGAUUUGUGUAGUCUUGUUCUUGAAGGAAAACGUCUCCUUCUUCCCCUUGAUGUAGAAACUGAUCUUGGCAGCACUAUCGUAGAUGACAGCUCCUGAGGUAUUUAGGAAUGGCCUCCCUAGGAUGAUGGGUGCCCUCUCAUCAGUACCAGUCUCUAUCACCACGAAGUCUGCUAGGGCGUACAAGGUACCAACUCGGACGUAGAGGUUCUUCAAUAUUCCCUUUGGGGAAACUUAGUGUCUGAUCUGCAAGCUACAAACACAUGGUUGUUUCUAGGAAAGGAUGUGUAACGAAUUUUUCAUAGAGUACCCUAAGCAUAAUGUUGACGCUGGAGCCAAAGUUGCAGAGUGCUUCUAGGAAGUCCACCGUGCCGAUGGAGAUCGGGAUGACGGGACGUCCUGGAUUGUAUCUCUUGACCGGCAGAAGGUCAGUAAUUACUUCCACAACAGGGUUACUCCAGUAGUUACGUCCUCAAGCAUCUCAGGGCAGUGAUUGCCUGAGUGUCCAGGAUCUCCAGUGUGUUUGUGCUCGUAGAUCUAGGUUCUUCACUUGGUGGAGUCUUGUGGAAGCUUUCCUUUCUUAGCGGUUGU
rnacentral:lncRNA from 1 species